AGAGCGGAAGCCCGGAGAUGGGCACUGAGACAAGGGCCCAGGCCCUACGGGGCGCAGCAGUCGCGAAAACUCCGCAAUACACGAAAGUGUGACGGGGCUAUCCCGAGUGCCAUCCGCUGAGGAUGGCUUUUCCUCAGUGUACAAAGCUGGGGGAAUAAGGAGAGGGCAAGUCUGGUGUCAGCCGCCGCGGUAAUACCAGCUCUCCGAGUGGUGGGGAUGUUUAUUGGGCCUAAAGCAUUCGUAGCCGGCUAGGCAAGUCCUCCGUUGAAUCCAACGAUUCAAUCUUUGGGCUGCGGGGGAUACUGUCUGGCUAGGGGGCGGAAGAGGCCGACGGUAUUCUCGGGGUAGGGGUGAAAUCCUAUAAUCCCGGGAGGACCACCAGUGGCGAAGGCUGUCGGCU
rnacentral:rRNA from 1 species